AUAUCAGGAGAAUGUUGCGUAUCAUUAUUAUGUGCGUGGGAUAAGGAACGAGUGUAAUCUUGUUGCUGAUUACUUUGGCUCCCAGUAGCAUAUGGCACACCGCGGUUUUGAUUCCCAGAACAGAUGGUAUAUGGAAACGCACCUCAAAACUUGAUUCGUACACACAAUGAUAGGAUGUUGACAUUCUUCGGAAGUAUCUUUGACUUGUAAAACACAGUGUACCCAGAACCAUCGUCCGGAACGAUUUUGCAGUCUCAACAAUGCAGUUGCAGACCGUUCUUGAUCAGAUUGAAUAACUAAAACCAUAGUGUGUUUUUCAACAUUGGACCCAGGGGAAAGAAAAAAGUAGCAAGAUAGAGGAGAGGGAAAGAAGCGUAUGCUAAUGCAGCCACGGCUACGUUUACAAACGGCUCUACACGGGACUAUAGUAUCGAAUACUGUGAAACAAUGAGUAUGUAGGAGAGAAAGAAAGAACGACGGAGAGCGGAGAGACGAUACAGAGGGAGUAUGGGUUACAGGAGCGUGAGAGUGUUGUUGCAAAGGCCGACAGGUCAGCGGAUCACCCGGAACUCGCGCUUAGACUCUGCUGAGUUUGAAUGUACGCCGAUCUUACCUUCUUGCCUUACCUACCUCCCUACCUUUUACCUAUAUAUUACUCUCUACGCUUGCACAACGGAGAUGGCCGAAGUUUUUGAUCCUCGAACGACCGUUUAAUAUUCUUGUCAAACGGCCGAUUCUUAUUGCUGAGAGAAUUUGAUCCAUAUCCGAACUAAAAGUUGUACGGACUUCCCUUAAGGAGGAUUAUAUAUAUUUCAUU